GACAGAGGGGGCAAGCGUUGCUCGGAAUUACUGGGCGUAAAGGGCGCGUAGGCGGGAUGGCAAGUCGGUCGUGAAAUCCCUCGGCUCAACCGAGGAACGUCGAUCGAUACUGCUGUUCUUGAGGAUUGCAGAGGAGACUGGAAUUCCCGGUGUAGCGGUGAAAUGUGUAGAGAUCGGGAGGAACACCAGUGGCGAAGGCGGUUGCCUGGAGCUUUGCUGACGCUGAUGCGCGAAAGCGUGGGGAGCGAUCCGG
rnacentral:rRNA from 1 species